GAUGAACGCUGGCGGCGUGCCUAAUACAUGCAAGUCGAGCGAACGGACGAGAAGCUUGCUUCUCUGAUGUUAGCGGCGGACGGGUGAGUAACACGUGGAGAACCUACCUAUAAGACUGGGAUAACUUCGGGAAACCGGAGCUAAUACCGGAUAAUAUUUUGAACCGCAUGGUUCAAAAGUGAAAGACGGUCUUGCUGUCACUUAUAGAUGGAUCCGCGCUGCAUUAGCUAGGUGGUAAGGUAACGGCUUACCAAGGCAACGAUGCAUAGCCGACCUGAGAGGGUGAUCGGCCACACUGGAACUGAGACACGGUCCAGACUCCUACGGGAGGCAGCAGUAGGGACGCUUCCGAAAUGGGCGAAAGCCUGACGGAGCAACGCCGCGUGAGUGAUGAAGGUCUUCGGAUCGUAAAACUCUGUUAUUAGGGAAGAACAUAUGUGUAAGUAACUGUGCACAUCUUGACGGUACCUAAUCAGAAAGCCACGGCUAACUACGUG
rnacentral:rRNA from 1 species